UUCACCUGUGGAAGUCUAAAAUCAAUGAUUUUUAAAUGUUGUGUCAGUACAAAAAGAAAUAACCAGUAUAUUGCUAUUUCUUGGUUUUAGAGAAGGGGCUAUAUUUCCAUUUUCUACACUCCUAUUAUUAUCUGUGCAUAUUGGUGAAAGAAAUGUCACUAGGCCUGAUUCUUCCAAAGAGCCUUUGUUUUAAGGCACUAAAUGCAUGUUUGAAAUAACCCAAUAUUUACUUUUUAAAAGGUACAUUACCUUUCUACAUUAGAAGACAUAGUUCCUUCUAUAGUUAAUGAUUUUGGUAGUCAUCUUUCAGUAUCCUCGGAGGAUUGGUUACAGAACAUCUCAUGGAUAUCACAAUCUGAGCAUGCUCAAAUAUAUUACAUAAAGUGAUGUAGUCCUUGCAUAUCACAUGCACUUCCUCUUGUAUAUUUUAAAUCAUCUGUAGAUUACUUAUAAUAACCUAAUACAGUGUAAAUGCUACAUAAACAUUUGUUAUUGAUAAGAAAAACAAUCUACAUGUUCUGUAGAUUAUAGGCGUAUUUUUUAUCCCCCUAAUAAUGUCACUCACUGUUGGUUGAAUCCACAGAUAUGAAACCAAUGGAUUUGAAGGGCCAACCAUAUUGUUUUUAUUUGCUGCAUGAGAAUAUUGUGAUUGUAUAAUCAGAGGCAACAUUUAAAAUAUUUCAUCUCAAUGUCAGCUUCACAGAUCCCUGAAAACAAGAACAUCUAGAAGACUGUUUUAAAUCAAAAUGCCACAUGUUUAAGUCAACUUACAAAUUUUAUUGGCUAAUAGACAACUGCCACACAUUCUUCUUACCACCAUCCUACUAUUCCUGAAUUUAAUUUGCAAAGGGAAGCAGAGACCAAAGAGGAUUUCUUAGGUACUCAAUAAAAUUUGAAGAAGUGGGAAAAAAAAUAUACUUACAGUUACUGAAAAUAAAACUUGCCUCAGUUAAGAGAA